rnacentral:lncRNA from 1 species
CGUCCUAACAACAUUUUAAGAAAAGCUGUAAAAAGUACAUCGUCUAGCUUUGCUAGAAAUUGCAAAAUAGUAGUCUGUCUUAAUGGCAUUAGUUUCCCAAUCUACCCUUCGGAAAUGGUUUAAUAAAUUUUGCCUGUUUUUAUAGGUAAUGGUAUCGACACGAGUGCGGUCUCCGUUCCAGCAGGCCCGUCCUUGUCCGAGACACGCCACUUUACCAGCAAGAUAACUCCGCCUUUUUAUAACCGAUCUUCUAAAUGCAGCCCUCCUCUUAUGCAUGCCAUGACGCGUAAUCUGUUCACCAUUCAUGAACGCCAGAACGUGCGCGUCAGUCGAUUUUCGUUUGAUAUUGUGAUGUGGCCAGACAACGUGCUUCACAGUCUAAAGUUCAUAGACGAUAAUAGCAGGAAAUUUAUGUAUUUGCCAUGCAGAGUAAUCAUGCCGUGUAAAUAAAGAUCAUCCAGUAUAAGGACCACACCCCGAACGUCACAGUCUCUUCGUUACGGCAGAUAAAAGAGGAAUUCAGCCCACGGCGAGGGGGGACGGUGCACUGCGACGCCGUCGCAAAACUGGAUAGAUACGUCGCGACGCUGCUAAGUUCACUGCUUUUCCAGACCUCAACUUGCCAGCUUCUUCACAUCAUCUCGAUUCCAGUUCGAGAUCAGCCAACACCGGGAUCACUGAACGGGAUGGCGAAUCUUCACCCUUGUUGACUGUAUGCAACCCCCUGUACGUAUACUGAAUGUAUCCUGAGUGUUUUUCUGUCCGGUAUACCUUCAGUAUACGUAACAGGAGGCCACAUUUCGGCGAGGGACUUCAAAAGGAGACUGUUGUUCCUAGAAUUAGCCAUUACAUGAUAAGUGUUCAAUAUAACGAUUCCUGAUUUAACACCCUAGUUGUAAUUGAAGCUUAUAUACUGAUAGUGCAUGCCCACCAAUUUGUUAGUACAUUUAUAAACAAUUGUGAUGUUAUGAAUAUGAUGUAGAUGUAACCUCAUAAGUAUAAGACAAUGUUGUUAUGUACAGAUCAUUCAAACAGCAACAACUUGGACAUUUGAAAAAUAAAGUUGAUAAACUGAA